rnacentral:rRNA from 1 species
CCUACGGGUGGCAGCAGUGGGGAAUAUUGCGCAAUGGGCGAAAGCCUGACGCAGCGACGCCGCGUGGGGAUGAAGCUUUUCGGAGUGUAAACCCCUUUCGACCCGGAAGCGGUACGGGUAUAAGAAGCCCCGGCUAACUACGUGCCAGCAGCCGCGGUAAUACGUAGGGGGCCAGCGUUGCUCGGAAUUACUGGGCGUAAAGGGUUCGUAGGCGGUGCGGCAAGUCGGAAGUGAAAUCCCUGGGCUCAACUCAGGGGCAGCUCCCGAAACUGCCGUGCUUGAGUGCGGGAGAGGCGAGUGGAAUUACAGGUGUAGCGGUGAAAUGCGUAGAUAUCUGUAGGAACACCCGUGGCGAAGGCGGCUCGCUGGACCGCACUGACGCUGAGGAACGAAAGCUAGGGGAGCAAACAGGAUUAGAUACCCUUGUAGUC